AAUGUAUAUAAGUUUGGCACAAGCAACAUUCCAACAGCAUCAAACGGAAAUUCUCUUCUUUAAGGAACAUCUCCAUUCAACAUACCAACAAAAAAAAAGGAACAUAUUAAGUCUUGAAGACGACUUGCGCUCAAAUGCCGUUAAUGACGACUAAAAUAAAAGUUUAAAUUUCUGCCGCUAGCAUGUUACCAACUGAACAAAAGGCAUAUGGCCGUUGUUAGAUAAAGUGGAAGAUCCCUUAAAGCUGCUGGUCGCCCGAGUAAAAAGGGACUAUGUAUUUUGUUGCCGUUCUGCCACAGGCUGAAGAGCUGUUGAUAUUCAAAGUUUGCUUACAAAAAACAAGGUGCUUAUGAUUUUCCUAUGGGAACCGAAGAAUUUUUUGAAAAAGACUUGAACGCGACUCCUCCUGAUCGUCUAUAUGUGGCUGUGUAUCUUGAAAAGUAUAAAGUGAUUGGAGAAACAGAUAAUAAAGUGGUCAAUCUUAGAGUAAAUAUGACCUAUGAACAAAUUAUGAAGCACUUUCCAUCUAUGAAGAAUUUAUGGAUUAAAUAGAAAUUACAAGUUUAUUAAAAUUCAAUCUAAUAUUUGUAUUUAUCCUUUCAAAUGUUUGCUUUUUAUUUAUUUUAUAAUUUUAGACAUUUUGCCAUCUAAACUAGAAGAAUGGAAGAUGUUUGAGGACAGGCUGUGCGACCGUCAAUUAUUUCAAAAGAAUUUUUAUGAAAAUUAUCAAGAGACAUUUCAACCUCCUUACCUAUUUAUCAUUACAUUGAACUUACAUCGAGGGCCAUACGCAAAGUUGUUGAUAAAAGUUUUUUACCACGGACUACCCAUAGAGAUCGAUUUGAUAUGUUAAGUUCACAAUUUCGUAUAAUCGACCAUACUGGUAAAAUUAUUACCGACAUCCUGGAGCAAUGAUUAGCUGAUCAAAAGAAGUGCUGCCUACGCGGCUCAGAUAGUAGGUCCAAUGCCGCCAUAUUAAUAUCCGAUGAAAAUGGAGUAAUCAGCGUAUCAGACGACAAGUAAGCGAUGAGGUCAACAUCCGUAAAUUCUCUUCACUUUCACUUAGUAAGCUUAAUUUAAUUAAAUUUUCGAAAGUAUUGUUCUUAACAUAACUCGCAUUUCACACAACUUUGAAGAUAUGGUGAAAACGCGAUUCCCGGCACUAUUGGCCAAGUAUUUGUCAGUAUAUGCCGUCAAGACUUACAUGUAUCGGUUAUGUCCAAGAUAGCUGUCAACUGUUCGUAGGUCAAGAAAAUGGCACCAUAACACAAUAUAUAGGCUCGGAAGACUGCAAUCGCCUUCUAUCAUUUGUGCGUUACUAUUUAGCACAUCAGGCUCGCAUCGUAUAUGUAGUCUUUUUCUUAGGCGCACAACUUUGAAAACUGCCCAAAUCAAAUAAGUUGAUAAGUUCCUAAAUUAUCAAAUUUUCCUUUUAUUUGGUUUUUAUAUACAAUGAAGAAAAUUUAUUUAACUAAUGAAUCUGAUCUGCUAUAGGUGUUUUUAGUAAAAAAUUCCAUACAGCAGGAUAAAACAGAUGUCAUAGAAACAUAAAAAAAUAAGUGCGCAAAAUUAAUCAAAAAUUCGAAAAUGCGAUUAAACACUUCAAAAACUUCGUUUUGUUAUAAAAAAGUGUAUUGCUCUCUACAUUUCUUAAUUGAAUCGACUUGACCUUAGUUUCAUUAUCACAUUCGAUGGCACGUAAGAUAUUGUACAAAUCCUCUUUACCCGUUACAGAGAUCAAAUUGCAAAGGUCUAUGUAAUUGUUGGAAGAACAUGAGCGCUUUGACUAGGCUGAAGAAAAUUGCUCUUUGGAACUAUUGCGGGCGUUGUCAAACAAAGUUUAUUUACCGCAAAUCUACUGCAAAACUCCACGCCGAUGGUUUACGAAGUUAUGUGGCGAAGAGAACCGUGAAAACGAUUCUUAAAUUCAAAGAGAACACGCAAAAAAUCCUUUUCAGUGCUCCACCGAUAUUUACUCACUGCCUUUGCUGCCAAUUGUAGUGACACAAAGUGCAGAGUAUACAUCAGGACAGGAUUUAAAAGUCUACAUACAUGUUUACCGGCUCGAGCAACACAUGACGUAUGACAUCAUACUCUAGAGGAACCGGUUUAGAUUCAGGACCUCGAAUGUUUGAGAUCAAAUUUCUUAUCGGAACUGCGUGACAGAAUACAACAAGCAAUUCUUUGUUGAAAGUGAACACUCAGGGUCACUUUUGCCAUCAAAAGAAACCCCCAGGCCCAGGAUAUUUUUUUAUAACCAACAUAUUGUACAGUGAUGAAAGGAAUCCUUUAAAUGCCGAUUAUUCGGCUCAUAUACGCCAAUGAGUGGCACUGUCUGCUCUUCUUUUCUUUUUCUCAUCAAAUAUUAAAGAUUGGGAAAUCAAUGAGAAAAGC